AUGGCAGGCAGCAGAUUCUGAGUUUGGGCAUGGACCUGCAGUUGGAAUGGAUGAAGUUAGAAGAUUUCCAAAAGCACCUUGAUGGGAAAGAUGAGAAUUUUGCUGCAACAGAUGCAAUUCCAAGUAGUGAGUAGUUUUGGAAAUAUUGAAAUCCCUUUCACAAAUCUAGAUUUAUAAAAUCUAACUUAUUUUUUCUUUCAUUUUAGAUGUGUUAAGGGAUGCUGUGAAAAAUGGGGAUUAUAUUACUGUAAAAGUUGCACUUAAUUCAAAUGAAGAAUAUAACCUGGACCAAGAGGAUUUAAUACACAAAACAAAAAGAAGAUACAAAAAUGAGAGCUGGGCGUGGUGGCAUGCACCUGUAAUCCCAUCUACUUGAGGCUGUGGCAGGAGGAGUGCUUGAGCCCAGGAGUUUGAGACCAGCCUGGGCUGACAUAGCAACACCCUGUCAC
rnacentral:sRNA from 1 species